rnacentral:rRNA from 1 species
UACGUAGGGGGCGAGCGUUGUCCGGAGUUACUGGGCGUAAAGCGCACGCAGGCGGUCUGCUAAGUUUGGAGUGACAGUUGGUGGCUUAACUGCCAAAGUGCUUCGAAAACUGACAGACUUGAGGGCUUCAGAGGGACACGGAAUUCCGGGGUGGAGUGGUGGAAAUGCGUAGAGAUCCGGAGGAACACCAAAGGCGAAGGCAGUGUCCUGGGGAGUACCUGACGCUCAGGUGCGAAAGCCAGGGGAGCGAACGG